rnacentral:lncRNA from 1 species
UCCGGACUUCGUGAUGAGUCAUCUGUACAAAGCUAUAGACAAGGAACUGGAAGGUCUCCUCUGGGUUUAUGACGAGCCAUCUGAAGAUAAUCCAUUGCAGCCAGACCAGGAAUCUCAUUCUACUACACAGGGUAACUUGUUAGUUCCUGAAACUAUCAGUGAGCAGCAUUCAAAGUCAGCACAAGAAGGAAGUGAAGAGGUUAUGACUGAUAAUAACAGUAGCCUUGAAAAUGCCGAUGGUCCACCUGGAAAUUUAGCAGGUCCUGGCAAGAAAAGCACGAGGCUUUACGAGCUGCUUCAGUUGGAACGGUGGGAUGGAGAAGAAGUGGGACUUAAACAUUCUGUAAGUGAUAUGACCAAUCAGGUUGAAGAUGCAUCAACUUCAGGUGGAAAUGAUCCGUGUACCACAGAGAACACCGUUCUUGAUGAGAUU